AUGCCGGAAGAAUUGAUCAAAGAAAGAGUUUUUUGUUCUUGCUUGCAUUUGUGCAUAUAUACUGGGACGACAAUGAUGAAUCUCGUCCUGUUUUUUCCUUCAGAGGAAUCACCAAAAUGUCCGUUAAACAAACAAGAUUUUAGUGAGUACGAGGUCGAAGGGCACGAUGUCCAACCUAAUUGUCGCCGCCCAUCGGCGAUCGACGAUCGCCGCCGCCACCAUAGCACCCCCGGAAAAAGACGCGAGCAGCCUCCACACCCAGAUCUGAAAGAGUUUCAUUCGAGACCAGACUGCUUUGUGAAUCUCAUCUAG
rnacentral:rRNA from 1 species